rnacentral:lncRNA from 1 species
AAAAAUAAAAAUAUUCAGAGUGUUUUAAAAAUCAUGUCUUGCUAAAUCUCUCUGAUCUCUUCCUGCCUGAGUAUGGCAUAUCUGUGAAAGAAAAUCUUCCAUUAGUUUAAAAGUAUGCUCUGUGCUUGCCAUACAAUAGAUCUUGCAGAUCAGAAAUUAAGCUUAGACCAGGGAUACUAAACUCAGAUGAGUUUGAAGAAGUAGUCUAAAUUAAUGGUAUUAACAGAUAAAAGGCAGUGCCUGUUUAAGUGGCCAAGAGGAGAAGGCCAGGCCUUUGUUUUGGCAUAGCAUACCUGCUGUUAUGAGCCAUUAAUUUUAGAUAUUCCGUCUUCAUACUCAUCUGCUGGCUUUGGAAACAGGGGAAAGAAAAGAAAGAAAGAGGAAAAAGAAAGAAAAAGGGAAAAAAGGGUUUUUAUAGCUUGGAGUUUAAUUUGGUAAGUCAAUUAAGCCCUUUUCUUUUAAUUUUGAUGUUUUAGAAGCUUUAGAGUAGAUUUUUGAUGAAAUUAAGUUGAGGUCUUGGAAGUUUAUAGGUUUUUAAGCAUGGUUCAUGUUGAAUAAAUUGUUGAAUUAGGGAUUUAAUUGAAUAAAUUUUAAGUUAGAAUUGAUAAAAGGAUUAAAUUAUAAAAGAAACUAUAAGUUUUAUGUUUUAGGGAUUAAAUUGAGGGAAAUUCGAAAUUAGGAAAAUAUGCUGAAAUUUUUAAUAGUUAAAUUUGAGUUUGGAUGAAAUUUGAAUAGAAAUAGCGUGUGAAUUUAAUUAGAAAAGUAAGAAAACUUAGUUAGGAUUAAAUUGAGAACAAGGUAGGAAUCGAUUAGAAAUUCAAUUAUUUAUUAUAAUUAGUGAUGUAAUUAAUAGUGUAAAUUAUUAUUAUUUUCGUAGCUAACAAAGAACCCGAGGCAUCAGCAUCAAGAGAAAAGGAGAAAGCUAUCGAUGACUAAAACAGGAGAUUUACGGUUUGUAUUACUAUAAUUCAAAUUAUUUAUUAUUAAAUGCUAUAUUUAAAUUUAUAUGUAUGGUAAGUGAAAUAUAUGGUAAGUAUUAUUAUUAAGUUGAAAGAAAUUCAAUUGAAUGAUGAAUAUAUGUGUGGAAUUGAAUUGAACAUUGACUUGAAAAAUGGAAAAGUGAAUUUUGAAUUGAAUUGUGAUUGAAAGUGAAAAAGUGAAAUUGAAUUGAAAUGUGAAUUUGGAGACCCUAUUAACUAGUCGGGCUGAGUCGAAUAUAGUUGGCAUGCCAUAUGAAUGGAAGAGUUCAGGGAUACUUUGACCUCGAGUCGACGAGACACUAGGUGUCACUAUAUUUCUUCGGAUAAAUUCGAUGAGGUACUGGGUACCAACUUUCUUCGGCUUUGCCGAUGAGACACUAGGUGUCAACUAUUGCUUCGAACUAUCCGAUGAGGCACUGGGUGCCAUACUGGAGUGUUUGGUUGGAUUCGUGUAUCCGCUAAAGUCCGAGUUUUGUUAAUAGGGUAAAUAAUAAAAUGAUAAACUGAAUGAGUUGUUCAAUCGAACUAUUGAAAUGAAAUGAGAAGUCGAAUUGUAAAUUGAAAUGUGAUAUGAGAUUGAGAAAUGAAUCUAAGGUUCAUGAUGUGUCCAAGUUCCAAAUUAUGGAUAUAUGAUAUUAAUUGAUGAAUUGUUAUUGUGGAAAUAUGAAAUGUGAGUUUAGAUUUGUAUGUAUGAUUUUAUGCAUUACAUGUUUAUUAAUAUUAUAAUUUGAAUUAUGGUAAUACCACUGAGUAUGAAAUACUCAGCGUAGGGUUGUUUUCGUGCGCAGGUCAUUAGAGUUCAAGGUCCAGUUCAACAUCUAGAAAGAUCCCGACUCCAUCAAGAAAAUUUUGGUGAUGUAUUUCUUCCUUUUGUUUAAGUGGCAUGUACUAGGUGAUUGAACACGAG